UCGGGCCGCAUUGCAGUCGCCCGGCUUUAGCCAAGGCAUUCGCCCAAGCACUGC
rnacentral:ncRNA from 1 species